UAAACAAGUAUCAUUUCAUCUUCAUUUUAAAUUAUUCCAAUCACCAAAAAACCUCCUCCCUCUGUAAUUGUGCCCUUUUUCACUUGUUUAAUGAAAUCCAUAUUUAAUCUUCCUUUGUUCCCUAAUGUACUGCUUUUACAUUCUUAAUGAAAAGUGGAAUGACCUCUGGUUCCCAUGCUUCAAUUGGCAUGGGAGUUGGUUCUAUUGUCCCAACUUAUUUACCUUUUCAUGUUCUCACAAAAAAAAUAUUUUUUUGAAACAUUUUAGUUAAAUUAAAAGCUUUUCCCCCUUUUUUUUUUGCAGGAAGUUGAGGCUACUUUGAAUGCUAAGGAUAUCCAAUCACAAGUACAAAAUCACCUAUGGUUGUAGUACGAAAGUAGCUACAGUAAAGCUAGGGUCCUCAAAGAAUCGUUGUUGAUGUGAUUAUGAUGUCUUCUUGGUUUCCAUUUGCAGAUGUGUGAUUAGGACAUCGAUGUUUUAGGUGGUGGCAACAACAUGUGGAGUUGGACUAGCCAUCAACUUCACCUCUAUGUGGUUUUUAAACCAAACAGGUCCCACCACGUACAGAGUUUUUAAGAAUGGGUCCUAGACCAAACACUUUCAGUUACACAGAACUGAAGACCCCCACCGAAGACUUCAAUCCUGCAAAUAAGCUGGGUCAGGGUGGAUUUGGCAUCGUUUUUAAGGAGAGUAAAUUGCAUCUGGAUUGGCAUACCCGCUUCGAGAUAUGCUUGGGGAUAACAAGAGGUCUCGCUUACCUUCACGAGGAAACCAGGCCUUGCAUUGUUCACAGGGAUGUCUAAUAAUGGAAUGACGCUGUACUCAGGUUAGACAUGUGGCCAGAUAGCCAAAUUUUGUGAGUUCUCUCUAUUGCAUCUUAAUAGACUGCUCAUCUCUUCCACAUUGUAGUCAAAAUGGAGUUUGUUCAUUUUAUCAUGGAUAUCUGAUUAAUUGUGAUUUGAGGUGCAUCUUAAUAGAUAAGUAUAGAAUUAGAGUUGGUUGUAACAACUUUAUGAAGUUUGCCAUUAAUU